GCCUUCGUGGUGUAGUGGUUAGCACACUUGACAUGUAUUCGAGAGGUCCGUGGUUCGGAUCCCUGCGAGGGCG
rnacentral:tRNA from 1 species